GAACCCGACAGUUAGUCUAUCAUUUUCUCCCUUAGUCUAUAGGAACAACCCAUUACAACCAAUAGGAUAGCUCCAUACUCCCUAUGUCUUCUUUGUCUAUCGCUUUGCCUAUCAAUUUAAAUAAUCGGCUCGCAGGCUGGAGGAGAAGUGCAGGUAUCAGCUAUUCCCCUUGGAAUAUUCGGACGUCUCGCAGCAUGGAGUAAAAAGCAGACAAAUUAUGCCCAUUUAGGGAAAUUCUAUAUUUUGCCGGUAUUUUAUAAUUAUUUUCAUAAACACCCAUAAAUUUUAAAAUUCUUCAUAAUAACUCCUUUAAAAUGUACUGAAACGACAAAGAAAGAAAUUAACUUUCGAAAAAUGUAUAUUUUGUAAACGUAUUAUAUUGUAUGAUUAAAAAUUUUAUAUUUUUCUUAAUCUCUUGCUUUCUUCAUUAAGGCUUAAAGAUUCAACCGACUUAACCUCUUCAAUAUCAAACAAAACAAAAUCAUCUGAAAAAAGGACUAAUUCUUCAAAAUUGGAGAGGGGAAGUAAUUUGAUUUCCUGGAAAAAUUUCUUUGUCUUGUUACUUGGUGUUGUAGGAUUACAAAUUUAACUUUCCUUGUUUUAAGUAUGUACGAGGUUGAUAGAAAAACUGCUCAAAAGCGGACAGGCAU